rnacentral:rRNA from 1 species
UACGGAGGGUGCAAGCAUCAAUCGGAUUUAUUGGGCGUAAAAGGCGCGUAGGCGGUAAGAAAAGUCAGAUGUGAAAUCCCGGGGCUCAACCCCGGAACAGCAUUUGAAACUCCCAUUCUAGAGGGUAGGCGGAGAAAACGGAAUUCCACAAGUAGCGGUGAAAUGCGUAGAUAUGUGGAGGAAUACCGAUGGCGAAGGCAGCCCCCUGGGAUAACACUGACGCUGAGGCGCGAAAGCGUGGGGAUCAAACAGG